AAAGGCAGCAACUGGAAACAAAACUCCAGUGGUAUGCCUAAGCAGCAUUGAUGUACGAAUAUUGGCCAUAUUAGGGCCAGCUUCAUCUGCGGGGAUGCCACUGGAGGAAGGUGGUUUUGGUCCUCAAGUUAUGAAUGUGGAAGUGCAAAGUGAACAAGUUGAAAGAAAUUGGCUUUGGGAAGUUAUUGACGACCCAAUGGUUGAAGUCCCAAACACCAGUUUCGCGUGCGACACCAGUGAUGCCGCCGGCCCCAGUGCCGCGCCCGGCCCCAGUGCCGCGCCCGGC